CGACAAAAUUUUACUUUGAUAGCGACUAACCCUAGAAACCCAGCUGUCUCUCUUACUCGGCCGCACGCCCAAUUCUCUGUUAUCUCUCCUUCCGUUUCUCCCUGCCAUCACUGGAGACCUCCGUUUCUAGCCAUCAAUUCACGACACCGCCACAUACCAAUCGAACCAGCACCUUAAUAGGAUCAAAACCCAAGCCCAGCACCGCCAUGCACCGACUCCUGACUCUGCACGCGACCCUCUAAGCCGCGAUGCUACUGGUCCCUUACUUUGAGUUUAUGGGUUUCUGUUUUUCACUCUUCAAUCCAUCAAUUGAUCGGUUUCUUACUUUGAAUACUUUCUGGAUUUUCAAUUUUCAGUCUUCAAUUCCUAUUGAAGAAAAGGAAAAGCUUAUGGAGGGUAACUUUUUUGGUUCUUUUGCAGAAGGAAUUUGUGCUGUGUUGAAGUGAUUUCUUUUAUCUAUUUUGAGCACCGGCUUGUAGGGCUGAGCAAGUGAGUCACCGAUGUGGCUUUGAGAUUAAGCCCAAAUUGAUUGAUGGGUGUGGCUGAUUCCGUCAAUCUAAGAGAAUUAAUUGGUAGGAUUCAUUUGAGGUGCAUGUUGUUUUUCCCCAAUUGCUGCAAAAACCUCAGCUGGUUCACUGGCGUGCUUGGAGUUAUUGAUUCAGGUUCACUUUCUUCCUUAAUGAUUUCUACACUAUAGUUUCAGUAAGUGAGACGCAGUACAAAGAUACAAAUAUUUUGAAUAAUUUUCCCUGAUACAGAUUUUAGGUUUCCAAGUAGGGAGAUGAUGAGUGAGCCGAAUACAGCUUAUAUUUCAGGUGCUAUACAAGAUUAGAUUCCUUUCACUCAAGGAUAAGGAAAUUUAGGUUAAAUUAGACAGAGAGAGAUCCUCUCCUACGUGACUGGAGUAUAGGUAUGGAAAAGGAGAUGACUUGAUCAAGAACUUGGGAAUUAUAGCAAAAUCUGGAACUUCAUGUAUCUUUUUUAGGUACAUUGAAGUUUACAUUUGUUAUCUAUUUCGAAUGAAAUUGUUGGAAAGGGGUUGAUGUUAAAUAUGAAGAGAUAAUUGAAGCAAAUUCAACUGGCUCCAGUUCAAUGAUUUUCAGGAUUGUUCGAAUGGUUAGUGAACUUACUUUUAUUGAUGACACAGACAAUUAUUUUGAGCAACCUUGCCUUUGUGCAAAAACACAAACUCAUUGAGGAUAUUUAUGUAUCUGUGCAAGGAAAAUCUCUUUGUUUUGUUUAUUUUUCAUGGCACCUGCUUUCUGACUUUUGAAAUUUGAAUGAUAAUUUCUUAACUAAAGAGGUGUACCAGGAGCUAUUUGCCUAAAUCUUGUGCCUAACUCAAUUGUAAGUCUCCUAUAUUUAUUAAGAUUGAUUGCCUCCAACGAAGUGUACUGAUGGCUCAUGAAUAUGGCAGGAUUGUGUAGUUUAAUAGCUGUAGGUUUACAUUUGUUGGUAUGUUAUGUUCUACUAAUGUUGGUCUGUAGCAUUUGAAAUUUGUAUGAUUGGUUCAGUUAAAUACUGUGGUCUAUAUAGAAACAAUGAAAUAUAGAGUAGUUCUGUGCUCUAUUGAUGUUUAUUGAAAGUUCUGAGUUUCUGACCUAGUUGAACUUUUACUGAAAACUGUACAGUUUGGUUGGGAAUUUGAAAUUAUCAUAUUCUUACAAAUUGCAGUAGACAUCUUAAAGAUCGUUUCAGAACUGGAAUCUCCUAAAAAUGAUUUUUCUAGAAUUACUUAUGAUUUUUCAAAGUUGCAGGUCUGCUACAGGAAUUUCUGAACACAGCAAUACUGGGUGUUAAACUAUCUUAGUUUCUUGGAAAAUAGAACACUGGGUUUCUUAUGCCUAAGGUGUUUGUUGAAAUGCGUAGCUGAAAUUUCCUGUCAGACUUCUUUAACAUCUUAUAUCCCAUUUUGGUAACUGAUAUAAUUUUAAGCCCAAGUUGUUCAUGUUUUGUGUCUUGGAUCUUCUUUAAACAGCAGCCUACAGUUUACUAAUUUCCAGUUUCCAGGUCAUCAGUUGCAUAUAUUUACUUCUAUUUAUGGAUGUAGGUUAUGGAGAGCACCUGUGGAUUCCACUUACUCCUAGAAUGGUAGACAUGCUCAGUGAAUAAGCUAAAGUAAACAAAGCAGGCCCUGAGCCUUUGUUCUCUGUUAAUUAUAUGCAGCAUCUCAGCAAGGAAAAUUUCUGUUCUAGGACACUUUAGGAUGCCGGAAAGGGAUCACUAUCACAUUUGCUUUAGUUAUAGGCAUGGUUAAUGUACAAUGGACACGUUUUAUGGACAAGUUUAUAUUUUUUGGGUUUAUGUAUUUAUAGGCACCUAGGCAGUGUUAAUUCCUUGUAAAUGUUGGGAUGAAUAUUGCUUAUGGAAUGAAAUGGUUUUUGGAAUCAA